AUUGAACCCAUAUCCUCAUGGACUCUGUCGGUUUCUUGACCCACUGAGGAACUCUCUAAGAUUAUUUUUGUUUUGAAUUACGCAUGAGGGAUGACACCACUUUCAGGAAUUAGGACAGCAAAGAUUGUAAUCUCGCCCUGGGCCUGACCAGACUAUGAGACCAUCUGUGGUCACUUCUUGAUUCUGUGGUUACUUUUGCCUAAACACAACCAGAAUGACUAGGUUUCUCUAGGCAGAUUUAGCCACAGGUCCUAGUUUACGUGGAACAUGAGCAUUAAAAACGUGUACUGGUGCUUUGACGUACUCUAAAUUUUGGACAUGCUGGGAACGGGAAAUUCAAGCAUUUCUACAAAGUAACAGAUGGGAAAUUUCCCAGGAAUAAACUGGUUAUUUCUUGGCAGUCUAAAAGUAUGUAGUCUGCAAGCUCUGCUCUGGGAGUUGGGAGAAUCCGCUUGAGCCACAUGACCUCUAGAUGCUAGAAAAGGAAUUCCCAGAUAUUUCCCUGCUAUAGCUAGUUAAGAGUAGUGGGUCAAAAGAGGACUGAAAUACCUUGGCAUCCAGCUUUGGGGAAUUGAAACUUUGAUUUUCCAGCAAAAACAAAGGGAAUGUUGAAUGUAGAAUCACAGGAAACCAAGCAUGAGGACACUGCAAAGUUAAUUAGACCUUCUCUUUUUAAUUCUGUAUUUCCCUUUUAUUUAUACAAUUCUCAUUCAUUUCAUCGAAGCAGUACAGAAUAGACUAGGUCCAAAUCUUGGCUCUAUCAUUUAUUCAGUGUGAGACAUUGGUUGUUACUAAACCUCUUUGCAGUUUUUAAAACCAGGUUUUUUGGGGUCAGCAGUCCUUUCUAUAGACCAGUCUGAUGCAGAGACCCUUCUUAAGUGGGAAAUAUAAUUUUUUUUUUGUCUUUUUGCCUUUUCUAGGGCUGCUCCCUCGGCAUAUGGAGGUUCUCAGGCUAGGGGUCUAACAGGAGCUAUAGCCGCUGGCCUACACCAGAGCCACAGCAACGCGGGAUUCAAGCCGAGUCUGCCACCUACCCCACAGCUCACGGCAACGCCAGAUCCUUAAUCUACUGAGCAAGGUCAAGGAUCAGAACCCAAGACCUCAGUUCCUAGUCGGAUUCGUUUCUGCUGCACCACAACGAGAUCUCCUAGCAUAAUUUUUUUAAUGUGGUACAACAUGCAUAUUCAAUACACCCAAACAUCUUUAGUUUUCCUCUAAGACGACAAAAAGUAAACUUAGAUUUGUUCAGCAAUCAAUAGUCCAGUAUUUUAUCCUAAAAAUUAUUUAGACAUUUAAUGGAUUUUCAUCAUAUUAUUUAGUGAAACUCUAAAAUUUCAAGAUAUCAAAAAUCUGCAAAACUAAUUUUCUAAAACAUAAUUAUUCCUAAAGUGUUCACUCAAAACCUUUUAUCCCAUAUCAAGUUAAUUGUCUUGUUGAAUGACCUUCAGUAAACCUAAGUACAAUAAAAGUACCAGAUGUGAUUAUUCUAAAGGCAUGUCUGCAUUAAUUAACAAACUUAAACAGUAAGCUUAAACUAACCCUUAUACCAGAUAUCAAUUCAAUAUUGAAUAUUUCCCAGAUCAUGUGAACCUGAAAUUCAUUUAGCUUAGUUUCUCUUGUAUUUAGAAACGUUUAAUUUGCAAUCGCUUACUUAAAAAAAAACAAUUAAAUAGAGCUCAUCUACAAAUUAAUCUCAGCGAUGUAAUCCAAAGACAAAGAUGUAUUAGGACAUACAUAUAUCCAGACAGACAGAGAUCUCAUAGUUUUAUCUUAAAAUUUAAUCUAGGGAAUAUUAUGGCCAGGCCAUCCUACAAAGAAAAAUCAUCUUUUUUUUUUUUUACAUUACAUUGGUUGUACCUGAAAAUGGUCCAGUUCUGGAGGAUGCAUCUCAAAGGGCUGAAUUUAGGAAAUGAAUUUGAGUUUCCCAUAGCCGGCACACUUACAUAUAUGACAAAUGCAAACAUACCCAGAAAGAACAAAAUCUGAUUCCUACAGGACAAAAGAGUCAUGUCUAACAAUUUUAUAAGCAAAGAUCUCUCUUCUUAACAAACAAUAUGGAAAAGGAAAAAAUAGGGAAUCGUGACUCCACUGUCAUGGCAAUUCACCUGGCCAAUGUAAAACCAAAAAGAACAGUUAUAAUAAGUUAAAUUUACUUACUUGAGCUUUAUUUAUUUAUUUUUUUGUCUUUAUACGGCUGCACCUGGCAUGUGGAGGGUUCCCCCGCUAGGGGUCGAAUGAGCUGUAGCUGCCGGCCUAUGCCACAGCCAUAGCAACACUGGAUCUGAGCCAUGCCUGCAACUUACACCACAGCUCACAGCAAUGCCAGAUCCUUAACCCACUGAGCGAGGCCAGGGAUCGAACCGGCCUCCUCAUGGAUACUUGUCGGGUUCGUUAACCAGUGCGCCAUGAUGGGAAAUCCCUAAAUUUACUUACUUAAGUUUUAAAAAGCCUCUUCCUAUUUUUUUCUUUCUUUUCUUGAAUUGAAGUUCUACUAAUCAACCCAAGGCCAAAGUCUCAGGCAAAGUGGGCUGUGUUUGUACUUCAAGGACAUGGUAAGAGUUAACCAAGUUUUCUCCUAGGCAUAUUUUUGUUCUCACAGGAUCAGAAUUCUGAAAAAAAGUUUUUUUUUAAUCAAGCCAACUUCUCCAACUGCACAUAUGACAAGAGCCAGUUUUGGAAUUUGAAAAGAGUUUCAAAACGGCCAGGGCCAAACUAAAACCAAAAGUCUCGUCAGCUGUAAGUUAUAAAAGACCAAGUGGCAGAGAGACCUUCUCUCUCUGCCCCAAAUGGCAGAAAAACUGCCCCAAAUGUGACUUCUGAGUUUCCUCUCGCCUUGGAUCCUUGUCUAGAAGGCACGUCCUUGGAGCCAGGGCUCCCCAGAUGGAGCUUCCCUCCAUACUGUGAGUUCCCCAAAUUGGAACCGAAGUUCCCCAAAUGGAAUUUCCCCCUUCAGGGAAAGUUCCUCAAAUGGACAAGAUCAAAAGGCCUUCGUGCGCACUCCAGGGGCAACUCACUGAAAGGUGGCUGGCAGGGCUGGGUCGAGACUCUCCAAAUGCCCUCUUUCUGUCCUCCAAAGUUGAUGUUUUCUCAGAGUGGAGGUCCGGGCCAGAGCAGACAAAAGGAAAGUUGUCUUCAGAGCAAAAGGGGCCUCAGCAGCUGCUGCGGAACUCCAAAGCCAUUCUCCGUUUGGCUUUGGAGUUCCGCAGCCAAACCACGACAGUAGGCCAGGUGUGAUUGAGGCACAGCCCUGUGGCAGGGGGUCCCUGGUGAUCUGAUUCCAGAGAAAUUCUCUAGCCUUCUGCCUUCCCAGAGAUGGUUGGCAGGAAGGGACACUCUAGGUGGCUUAUUGAACCAAGGGGCCCUACAGGGCCAUGUGCCCACAAGGGGAUCCCAGACGAGCCACCAAAAUUUGCUGCCAAAAUAUGGGCUGCUUCUGUACACCAAUGCUGAAUAGAAACUCAGACACAGUGUUGGAAGAAACAGAAAAAAUAGCUUUAAUUGCCAGGCAAAGAGGGGAACACAGCAGGAUGGUGCCUCAAAGACUAUGCCUCUGCUCAGAGGGGGUAGUGAGGAGUCUUACAGUGUUUGAGGAUCCAGGUGUCAUUAAGUUCAUAGACAUUUUCCUGAUUGGUUGCUGAUGAGGUAAUUGGGAAUCAGCACCAUCGAGCUUCUGGUUCCAACAGGUCUAGGAUAUGCAUGCUUAUAAGCAGCAUAUAGUUGACUUCUUUCACCUGGUGGGGGCUUCAGCACCUGAUACAGCUCAAAGGACAUGGCUCAGAAUAUUAUCUGUAAUCCUUGAGGAAGAACUAAAGGCCCUUGACCAACAAGAAUGGCUAAACUAUUAUUAUUCUGUCUCGCUUGACUUCCUUUUUCUCACUUCUCUGAUUAACUUGAUUCUUUAACUAAAGAUUUUCUGUAGAUAAAAAGGCAGGUAGCAGACAUGAGUAGAGGUCCAUUCUGGGAAGGCCUCGCCGGGUCCUGCUUGGUAACAUGGUGAGGUCUAAUGGUGUUACAUGUGCAGUACUAAGAACAGUGUCUGGGACACAGCAAAUGCUAUCUAAAUGCUUGCUGUUAUCAAUAUAUUUUGGUCUUCUCUCCCUCUUCAUUCUUUUUUCCUUUCUUCUCCUCCUCCUCCUUCUCCUCUCCUCCUUCUCCUCCCUCUCUUCCCCCUUCCCUCCUCCUCCUUAUUUAUUAUUCAGUUGGCAAUAACCAAUUUUUUUUUUUUUUUUUUGCUUUUUAGGGCUGUACCUGUGGCAAAUGAAUGGAAGUUCCCAGGCUUGGGGAACUGCAGCUGCAGCUGCAGGCCUAUGCCACAGCAACGUGGGAUCUGAGCUGCGUCUGUGACCUGCAUCACAGCUCAUGGCAACACCAGAUCCUUAUCCUGCUGAGUGAGGCCAGGGAUGGAACCUGCAUCUUCAGGGACACUAUGUCAGGUUCUUCAUCUGCUGAGCCACAACAAGUACUCCUGUUUUCUGAUUUUUUUUUUUUGCAAUAACUCUCUAUGAAUCUGUUAAUAUUUUUUUGAGUGCUAAGAGGUAGUCUCAUUCUUUCAUUUUCCAGAUGUGGAAACUGAAUCCCCAAAACAGAACAUGGCUUCCUGAGAUCACACAGAGACUGUGACUAAACCAGUACUAGAACCAAUGGCUUCUGACCAUGAGUCCAUGGCUUGUUACUCUCAACACAGAGUCCAAGAAGACCUACCUUGGAUACUGAUACACUCUGCGUGUCCUCCAACACCCACAGGAAGACUUGAACACUCUGUGAUUCCAAGUAUUCUCCAAAAGAGGUCUUUGUGUCAAAGAUUGCGAGCAUGUCAAGGGAAAGGUCUGUGGCUUGGCUACUUUGUGAUCUUCAAUGUAUGCUUGGCACUGUGCUUCAAGAUCUUUUAGGGCAGAAAAUAUUGCCUAUAACACCUGGGAUUAUUAGGGGCAGAUGCUCAAUAAAUAGAAUUAAUAAACCCGCAUUUAAAAAGAAUGGGGUUAGGGAAGGGAAUAGUUAUUAAGAAAUUGAUAUGUUCUAGUCACUGUGCUAGAAUUUUCACCACUAUCUCAUUUAAUCCCCAGAAAUCCUUUAUGGCAUUUUCCAUUUCCAGAUUUUGAAUCAGGAAAUUAAGUUUCAGAGAGGUUAGGCAACUUACUCUGAGUGUCUUCACAAGUAAACAUUCAAGAUUGACACUUCUCUGGUGGACUAUAACCUUCUAAAAUCUAAUAUGAUCAUCAAAGAGUGAGAAGUAAAGCCAAGAAGAGAGAGAACUAAUGCUUUCCAGAAGGUUUUUUUUUAAGUUUUUUUUUUUCAUGAGAAACAAUAAAAUCAACCAUAAAAAUU
rnacentral:lncRNA from 1 species